rnacentral:rRNA from 1 species
CCUACGGGAGGCAGCAGUGGGGAAUAUUGCACAAUGGGCGCAAGCCUGAUGCAGCCAUGCCGCGUGUGUGAAGAAGGCCUUCGGGUUGUAAAGCACUUUCAGCGGGGAGGAAGGCGGUGAGGUUAAUAACCUCAUCGAUUGACGUUACCCGCAGAAGAAGCACCGGCUAACUCCGUGCCAGCAGCCGCGGUAAUACGGAGGGUGCAAGCGUUAAUCGGAAUUACUGGGCGUAAAGCGCACGCAGGCGGUCUGUCAAGUCGGAUGUGAAAUCCCCGGGCUCAACCUGGGAACUGCAUUCGAAACUGGCAGGCUAGAGUCUUGUAGAGGGGGUAGAAUUCCAGGUGUAGCGGUGAAAUGCGUAGAGAUCUGGAGGAAUACCGGUGGCGAAGGCGGCCCCCUGGACAAAGACUGACGCUCAGGUGCGAAAGCGUGGGGAGCAAACAGGAUUAGAUACCCCGGUAGUC